UGGUGACAUCAGUUAAAAGAGUAAUUAGUUAUGUAAAAUUCAGUUUAUAUGAAUGUAAAUGGGGUAUUUAUUCUCAGUUCAUGUAAGGUAUAAUUUGCAUGUAACCCAGAGUGUAUUUAAUAUUACUAUGAUGGGUCAUUCUGUGAUUGAAUUUAAAUCAGAAAAAAUGUUUACUAAAUUUUGGUAAAAUACAUAUGGUAUCUUUUACAUUUCUGUCCUGUUUGUCUGUCAAUUGUUGCUUUACUUCCUUUGUAAAAUGAGGUUAAUUUGUGUAUCACUGAAUAUUGUAUGCUUUUUUUCAGGAUCAGCUGAGAUGUUAUUUCACUGGAUUAUUUAAUUGGGCAUAUAAUUGGAUAAUUCUGUCCUCAACCUGGAAGAUAUGUUUUAUUCCCAACCAUCUAUAAUCCAUUCUCUAUGAAGUUCAGCCUGUCUGCCCAAAUUCCUUUGGAAAUACAUAGUUAGUCAACCAACAUAGAAACAAUCAAACUUGAAGUCCUCAACAUGGAAGAAUUGGUUUGUUCUUAACCAUCUAUAAUCCAUUCUCUAUGAAGUGAAGCCUGGCUGCUGGUCUUCCUUUGGAAAUACACAGUUAGUCAAUCAACAUAGAAACACACAAACUUGAAGGAUUCUCUAGUGAGGGCUUAUGGAAAUGAUCUAUGUCUACUCUUAGAAUGGUGAAAGACUAUCAGAUUAUGCAAAGACUAACAGAAUAUCCUCUCUUGGAACACUGAAACAAGAAAACCAAACUUAAGAGGAUGGAGGAUUUAAGAAGAACAUAGAUAAAUAUGAUUUCCAACAAAUUUAACCAGUACGAUCAUAGACUGUGGUUAACAGGAUGACAAAGAAAGGACCCAGGAUUGUAUCUUUCACUGUCAGACACUGACUAUGGAUAAAGUGUAAUCAUUUAUCAAACUGAGAUCUAGUCAAAUCAAGUAUUGAAAAUAUGAUUUUCUGAUAGCAUGAGCUCUUUAAAAACUAAUUCUCACGGACCUCAAAGUAUCUGAAUGUGACUUUUAUUUUUACCAAUUCAUAUUGAAGACUGUUGUUAUGUAUGGGAAUUACACAUUUAAACCUUUUAUUUUUCAUCUAAUUUUUACAACCCCCUAGAAAUUACACAGAUAUCCAGAUGCUGGAUUUAAUGUUAUUAUUUAACUUUCCUGGAAUUGUAAAUAUAUUUUGUUUGUGUAUGUAUCAUGUUUAAUUUUGAAUUUAAAAUUGGUCUCAAUAAGACCCCCAAUGAAGAUGCAAGUGUCCCAUAAUCUUGUGCUAGAAAUUACACAGAUAUCCAGAUGCUGGAUUUAAUGUUAUUAUUUAACUUUCCUGGAAUUGUAAAUAUAUUUUGUUUGUGUAUGUAUCAUGUUUAAUUUUGAAUUUAAAAUUUGUCUCAAUAAGACCCCCAAUGAAGAUGCAAGUGUCCCAUAAUCUGUGGUUUAAUAAUAUCUUGAAUAUCUUUAUCAUACCAUAUUCAUCAUACUAAUUACAUAUAGAAUGGUUGUAGGAAUACACUUUGUUGUUUAGGACACUUUGUCAAGGUCAAAGCAUAAGAUUAUUGAGAUGACUUCUUUGACAAUAAUUUGUAACUUACAAACUUCACAUCAUAAGUACACAGAUGAAGAAUCAAUAAGAUAUUUCUAUAGAUUUUUUUUUUUUGGAUCAUUUAAUCCUGGGUAAAAGUUAGUUACUGAGAUUACUGAUUUGAGUCCUGUAAUGCAGUAACUUUAACAUUGUGUGAUAACUUAUAUACUUUAUAAAAAUUAGGUGCAAAUUCUUAGGAAAGGAUUGAAAUGUUAAUCAAAUGUACAAUGUUCAAGGGUGUUUAUAUGACUAUUACUAUGUAAUACCUAGGGUUUCUGUAAAAAUCCUAUAUUCACUACAUAGAUAAAGACCGGUAUAAUAUAUAUUUUAAACUAUGAUGAAGGAAAAAAGGUCAAAAGCUCUCCCCUUCAUAUCUUUCAUAUUCUGUCAUACACAACAAUAGAUAAAUUGCAGUCAUAUAACAAACUGAGGUCUAAUCAAAUCCUAGAAUUGAUAUUGUGAUUUUCUGAUAGUAUGAGAUCUUCAAAAAAAAAUAAUUCCCCAGACUUCAAAGUAUCUAAAUGUGACUUUUAUUUUUACCAAUUCAUAUUGAAGACAGUUGUUAUGUAUGAGAAGUAUACAUUUAAACCUUUUAUUUUUCAUCUUAUUUCUACAACCCCUAACAAAUUACACAGAUGUUUAAAAGCUAGCUUUGGUGUAAUUAUUACUUUCCUGGAACUGUAAAUACAUUUUGUUUGUGUAUGUGUGUGUGUCCUAUUUCGAAUUUAAUAGGUCUCAAUAGGACCCCCAUAAAGAUGUAAGUGUCCCCUGAUCUGUGAUGUAAUAAUAUCUUGAAUAUUUCUAUCAACCAUUAGACUUCAUGCUUACUACACAGAACAGGUUAGAGUAAUACACUUAGUUUUAUAGGACACUUUGUCAGGGUCAAAGCAUGAGAUUAUUGAGAUAACUACCUUUGACAAUAAUUUGUAACCUGCAAAAUUCACAUCAUAAGUAAAGAAA